AGGCCUGCAGAGAUAGAGGCAGGGUCUGAUCCACAGUCUCUGUGGCAGCUGUUUAUCAGCUGUUGCCUCUCUCUUUCUCUCCG
rfam:Myotis lucifugus cont2.2739, whole genome shotgun sequence.